CCAAUAGCGUAUAUUAAAGUUGUUGCAGUUAAAAAGCUCGUAGUUGAAUUUCGGGAUUGACGUGACGGUCGUGCCUUAAGGGGUAUGAACUGUUGCUGUUGAUUUCUCACCUUCUGGAGAAUCUCGAUGCCCUUUAUUGGGUGUCUUGUGGAUCCAGGACCUUUACCUUGAAAAAAUUAGAGUGUUUAAAGCAGGCAUUUUUGCUCGAAUACAUUAGCAUGGAAUAAUAGAAUAGGACGGCUUGGUUCUAUUUUGUUGGUUUCUAGGAUCACCGUAAUGAUUAAUAGGGAUAGUUGGGGGCAUUAGUAUUCAAUUGUCAGAGGUGAAAUUCUUGGAUUUAUUGAAGACUAACUACUGCGAAAGCAUUUGCCAAGGAUGUUUUCAUUAAUCAAGAACGAAAGUUAGGGGAUCGAAGACGAUCAGAUACCGUCGUAGUCUUAACCAUAAACUAUGCCGACUAGGAAUCAGACGAUGUUAAUUUUUUAAUGACUCGUUUGGCACCUUACG
rnacentral:rRNA from 1 species